rnacentral:rRNA from 1 species
UACGUAGGGUGCGAGCGUUGUCCGGAAUUAUUGGGCGUAAAGAGCUUGUAGGCGGUUUGUCGCGUCUGCUGUGAAAUUUCGGGGCUCAACCCCGAACUUGCAGUGGGUACGGGCAGACUAGAGUGUGGUAGGGGGAGACUGGAAUUCCUGGUGUAGCGGUGAAAUGCGCAGAUAUCAGGAGGAACACCGGUGGCGAAGGCGGGUCUCUGGGCAGUAACUGACGCUGAGGAGCGAAAGCGUGGGGAGCGAACAGG